GACGAACGCUGGCGGCGUGCCUAAUACAUGCAAGUCGAACGCAGUGGGGACGGGUGAGUAACACGUGGGUAACCUCCCAUCAGAGGGGAUAACACUUGGAAACAGGUGCUAAACCGAUACUGAUGGAUGGACCCGCGGUGCAUUAGCAAGUUGGUGAGGUAACGGCUCACCAAGGCCACGAUGCAUCGGCGGCCAGGGAGGUGGUGAGGCCACACUUGAAGUGAUACGCGGCCGAUACUCCUACGGGAGGCAGCAGUAGGGAAUGUUCGGCAAUGGACGAAAGUCGGACCGAGCAACGCCGCGUGAGUGAAGAAGGUUUGCGUGUCGUAAAACUAGGUUGUGAGGGAAGCGGUAUCUAACCAGAAAGCCACGGCUAACUACGUGCCAGCAGCCGCGGUAAUUC
rnacentral:rRNA from 1 species